GUAGGGAAUCUUGCGCAAUGGGCGAAAGCCUGACGCAGCCAUGCCGCGUGAAUGAUGAAGGUCUUAGGAUUGUAAAAUUCUUUCACCGGGGACGAUAAUGACGGUACCCGGAGAAGAAGCCCCGGCUAACUUCGUGCCAGCAGCCGCGGUAAUACGAAGGGGGCUAGCGUUGCUCGGAAUUACUGGGCGUAAAGGGAGCGUAGGCGGAUAGUUUAGUCAGAGGUGAAAGCCCAGGGCUCAACCUUGGAAUUGCCUUUGAUACUGGCUAUCUUGAGUGUGGAAGAGGUAUGUGGAACUCCGAGUGUAGAGGUGAAAUUCGUAGAUAUUCGGAAGAACACCAGUGGCGAAGGCGACAUACUGGUCCAUUACUGACGCUGAGGCUCGAAAGCGUGGGGAGCAAACAGGAUUAGAAACCCUGGUAGUCC
rnacentral:rRNA from 1 species